rnacentral:rRNA from 1 species
UUCGCAAUGCCCGAAAGGGUGACGAAGCGACGCCGCGUGCGGGAAGAAGGCCUUCGGGUUGUAAACCCCUGUCGGGAGUUAAGAAAUGCAGAGAUGUUAAUAGCGUCUUUGCUUGACUAAGGCUCCGGAGGAAGCCACGGCUAACUCUGUGCCAACAGCCGCGGUAAUACAGAGGCGGCAAGCGUUGUUCGGAAUUAUUGGGCGUAAAGAGCACGUAGGCGGCUAUGUAAGUCGGUUGUGAAAGCCUUCCGCUCAACGGGAGAACAGCAUCCGAUACUGCAUGGCUUGAGUGCGGGAGGGGAGAGUGGAACUUCUGGUGGAGCGGUGAAAUGCGUAGAUAUCAGAAGGAACGCCGGCGGCGAAAGCGGCUCUCUGGCCCAUAACUGACGCUGAGUGUGCGAAAGCUAGGGGAGCAAACGGGAUUAGAUACCCCGGUAGUCCUAGCCGUAAACGAUGGGCACUAAGUAGAGGGGUUUU